rnacentral:rRNA from 1 species
UACGAAGGGGGGCUAGCGUUUGCUCGGAAUCACUGGGCGUAAAAGGGCGCGUAGGCGGCCGAUUUAAAGUCGGGGGGUGAAAAGCCUGUGGCUCAACCACAGAAUUGCCUUCGAUACUGGUUGGCUUGAGACCGGAAGAGGACAGCGGAACUGCGAGUGUAGAGGUGAAAUUCGUAGAUAUUCGCAAGAACACCAGUGGCGAAGGCGGCUGUCUGGUCCGGUUCUGAACGCUGAGGCGCGAAAGCGUGGGGAGCAAACAGGAUU